rnacentral:rRNA from 1 species
AGCGAAAGCGUUAAGUAUCCCACCUGGGGAGUACGCCGGCAACGGUGAAACUCAAAGGAAUUGACGGGGGCCCGCACAAGCGGAGGAACAUGUGGUUUAAUUCGAUGAUACGCGAGGAACCUUACCCGGGCUUGAAUUGCGACUGACUGCAUCAGAGAUGAUGUUUCCAGCAAUGGCAGUCGUGAAGGUGCUGCAUGGUUGUCGUCAGCUCGUGCCGUGAGGUGUCGGCUUAAGUGCCAUAACGAGCGCAACCCUUUUCCCUGUUUGCCAUCGGGUAAUGCCGGGCACUCCAGGGAUACUGCCAUCGUAAGAUGUGAGGAAGGUGGGGAUGACGUCAAAUCAGCACGGCCCUUACGUCCGGGGCUACACACGUGUUACAAUGGGCGGCACAGAGGGCAGCGACCGCGCGAGCGGCAGCCAAUCCCGAAAUCCGCUCUCAGUUCGGACUGGAGUCUGCAACCCGACUCCACGAAGCUGGAUUCGCUAGUAAUCGCGCAUCAGCCAUGGCGCGGUGAAUACGUUCCCGGGCCUUGUACUCACCGCCCGUC